CCUACGGGGGGCUGCAGUGAGGAAUAUUGGUCAAUGGCCGAGAGUCUGAACCAGCCAAGUCGCGUGAAGGAUGACUGCCCUAUGGGUUGUAAACUUCUUUUAUCUGGGAAUAAAAUGUUCCACGUGUGGCAUUUUGUAUGUACCAUAUGAAUAAGGAUCGGCUAACUCCGUGCCAGCAGCCGCGGUAAUACGGAGGAUCCGAGCGUUAUCCGGAUUUAUUGGGUUUAAAGGGUGCGCAGGUGGGUUGUUAAGUCAGUCGGGAAAGUUUGCGGCUCAACCGUCAAAUUGCAGUUGAAACUGGCAGUCUUGAGUGCAGGAGAGGUGGGCGGAAUGCGUGGUGUAGCGGUGAAAUGCUUAGAUAUCACGAAGAACUCCGAUUGCGAAGGCAGCUCACUGGACUGCAACUGACACUGAGGCACGAAAGUGUGGGUAUCAAACAGGAUUAGAUACCCGGGUAGUC
rnacentral:rRNA from 1 species